rnacentral:rRNA from 1 species
GAUGAACGCUGGCGGCGUGCCUAAUACAUGCAAGUCGAGCGAACAGACGAGGAGCUUGCUCCUCUGACGUUAGCGGCGGACGGGUGAGUAACACGUGGAUAACCUACCUAUAAGUCUGGGAUAACUUCGGGAAACCGGAGCUAAUACCGGAUAAUAUAUUGAACCGCAUGGUUCAAUAGUGAAAGACGGUUUUGCUGUCACUUAUAGAUGGAUCCGCGCCGCAUUAGCUAGUUGGUAAGGUAACGGCUUACCAAGGCAACGAUGCGUAGCUGACCUGAGAGGGUGAUCGGCCACACGGGAACUUAGACACGGUCCAGACUCCUACGGGAGGCAGCAGUAGGGAAUCUUCCGCAAUGGUCGAGAGCCUGACGGAGCGACGCCGCGUGAGUGAUGAAGGUCUUCGGAUCGUAAAACUCUGUUAUUAGGGAAGAACAAAUGUGUAAGUAACUAUGCACGUCUUGACGGUACCUAAUCAGAAAGCCACGGCUAACUACGUG